rnacentral:rRNA from 1 species
AUUGAACGCUGGCGGCAUGCCUUACACAUGCAAGUCGAACGGCAGCACGGGAGCAAUCCUGGUGGCGAGUGGCGAACGGGUGAGUAAUAUAUCGGAACGUGCCCAGUCGUGGGGGAUAACGUAGCGAAAGCUACGCUAAUACCGCAUACGAUCUAUGGAUGAAAGCGGGGGAUCGCAAGACCUCGCGCGAUUGGAGCGGCCGAUAUCAGAUUAGGUAGUUGGUGAGGUAAAGGGCUCACCAAGCCGACGAUCUGUAGCUGGUCUGAGAGGACGACCAGCCACACUGGGACUGAGACACGGCCCAGACUCCUACGGGAGGCAGCAGUGGGGAAUUUUUGGACAAUGGGCGCAAGCCUGAUCCAGCAAUGCCGCGUGCAGGAUGGAAGGGCCUUCGGGUU